rnacentral:rRNA from 1 species
UACGUAGGGUGCAAGCGUUAAUCGGAAUUACUGGGCGUAAAGCGUGCGCAGGCGGUUUUGUAAGUCUGUCGUGAAAUCCCCGGGCUCAACCUGGGAAUUGCGAUGGAGACUGCAAGGCUAGAAUCUGGCAGAGGGGGGUAGAAUUCCACGUGUGAGCAGUGAAAUGCGUAGAGAUGUGGAGGAACACCGAUGGCGAAGGCAGCCCCCUGGGGUCAAGAUUGACGCUCAUGCACGAAAGCGUGGGGAGCAAACAGG